UACGUAGGGUGCAAGCGUUAAUCGGAAUACUGGGCGUAAAGCGUGCGCAGGCGGUUUUGUAAGUCUGUCGUGAAAGCCCCGGGCUCAACCUGGGAAUUGCGAUGGAGACUGCAAGGCUUGAAUCUGGCAGAGGGGGGUAGAAUUCCACGUGUAGCAGUGAAAUGCGUAGAGAUGUGGAGGAACACCGAUGGCGAAGGCAGCCCCCUGGGUCAAGAUUGACGCUCAUGCACGAAAGCGUGGAGAGCAAACAGG
rnacentral:rRNA from 1 species